rnacentral:rRNA from 1 species
GAUGAACGCUGGCGGCAUGCCUAACACAUGCAAGUCGAACGGAGUUAUUAGACGGAAGCCUUCGGGCGGAAGAUUAAUAGCUUAGUGGCGGACGGGUGAGUAACGCGUGAGUAACCUGCCUCUCAGAGGGGGAUAACGUUCUGAAAAGAACGCUAAUACCGCAUAUAAUCAAGAAACCGCAUGAUUUUUUGAUGAAAGGAGCAAUCCGCUGAGAGAUGGACUCGCGUCUGAUUAGCUAGAUGGUGGGGUAACGGCCUACCAUGGCGACGAUCAGUAGCCGGACUGAGAGGUUGAACGGCCACAUUGGGACUGAGACACGGCCCAGACUCCUACGGGAGGCAGCAGUGGGGGAUAUUGCGCAAUGGGGGAAACCCUGACGCAGCAAUGCCGCGUGAAGGAAGAAGGUUUUCGGAUUGUAAACUUCUUUUGUUAAGGACGAAGAAUGACG